ACCUUGCUGACGAGUGCCGAAUAGCACGAAACCCUAGUCCAGGGU
rnacentral:hammerhead_ribozyme from 1 species